UACGUAGGGGGCUAGCGUUAUCCGGAAUUACUGGGCGUAAAGGGUGCGUAGGUGGUUUCUUAAGUCAGAGGUGAAAGGCUACGGCUCAACCGUAGUAAGCCUUUGAAACUGGGGAAACUUGAGUGCAGGAGAGGAGAGUGGAAUUCCUAGUGUAGCGCUGAAAUGCGUAGAUAUUAGGAGGAACACCAGUUGCGAAGGCGGCUCUCUGGACUGUAACUGACACUGAGGCACGAAAGCGUGGGGAGCAAACAGGAUUAGAUACCCUGGUAGUCCCUGA
rnacentral:rRNA from 1 species